AACAAAGCACUAUAAAAGAUCAGAUUGAGGUAUUCUGUGGGCUCAUUCAAUGUCGGAAGCCAGCAUUCUGCACACCACUGCCGGGGCCUUCGGCUUCCAAAGCUGGUUCGAGACUGAGGAAUAGCAGCGGGAUUAGGCCAGACCUCUGUCUGUUCUCACAGCCUUGUGGAAUUUAUCAGGGCCAUUUCCUUGGUCAGCUAACCCACACCCAGGGACCCAGGGACAGAGGAAGAGAUGGCAGGGUAGAGACCCUUGGAUUUGUUCUUUCGGAUUUUGGAUUUUGACCUGACUUUCUCUGUCAAUCCUCAUUCCAGAUCCAGUGGCCAAAGAAGGAAGAAACUCAGUGGUCUUUUCUUUUUCCUUCAUUUUUCAAACAAAGAAGCUAAAUGAGACCAACAAGCCCGAAGGAGAAUGAGUUCCUUGCAGAACUUCUCAGGACUUGGUAGACAGAUUUACAUAAACAAAGUAUUUGGCUCCUUCUUUGGUAACGAUCCUGAGAGUGGACACGGUGGUGACCCCACGGCUUUAUGUUGUCUCUGUUGCUACAGAAGCUGCGAGUGUGCUCAGCAAGACCUCACGGGGGAAAAUCAAGAGAGAAAUGUUCCACGGUGUAUCCUUGUACCUGCCCUAAAUUGGCGUCAUUUUGGGCCUCCAUCCAGGGGAGAAAACUCAGCCUGUAGAAGCAGAGAGAAGAUUAGAUGCUGCUGGAAGGAAUGGAGGUUUGUUGUGUUGCUGUCCUCAGGAUGGGAACAUGGCAGGGUUUAACAUGAGCAAGAGACAGCAGGGG